GGGGAAUUAGCUCAGCUGGGAGAGCGCCUGCUUUGCACGCAGGAGGUCAGCGGUUCGAUCCCCGCUAUUCUCCA
rnacentral:tRNA from 1 species